rnacentral:rRNA from 1 species
AUUGAACGCUGGCGGCAGGCUUAACACAUGCAAGUCGAGCGGGGUGAUGGUGCUUGCACUAUCACUUAGCGGCGGACGGGUGAGUAAUGCUUAGGAAUCUGCCUAUUAGUGGGGGACAGCGUCUCGAAAGGGAUGCUAAUACCGCAUACGUCCUACGGGAGAAAGCAGGGGAUCACUUGUGACCUUGCGCUAAUAGAUGAGCCUAAGUCGGAUUAGCUAGUUGGUGGGGUAAAGGCCUACCAAGGCGACGAUCUGUAGCGGGUCUGAGAGGAUGAUCCGCCACACUGGGACUGAGACACGGCCCAGACUCCUACGGGAGGCAGCAGUGGGGAAUAUUGGACAAUGGGGGGAACCCUGAUCCAGCCAUGCCGCGUGUGUGAAGAAGGCCUUAUGGUUGUAAAGCACUUUAAGCGAGGAGGAGGCUCUUUUGGUUAAUACCCAGAAUGAGUGGACGUUACUCGCAGAAUAAGCACCGGCUAACUCUGUGCCAGCCGCCGCCGUAA